UACGUAGGGGGCUAGCGUUGCUCGGAAUCACUGGGCGUAAAGCGCACGUAGGCGGCUUCUUAAGUCAGGGGUGAAAUCCUGGAGCUCAACUCCAGAACUGCGUUUGAUACUGAGAGUCUUGAGUUCGGGAGAGGUGAGUGGAACUGCGAGUGUAGAGGUGAAAUUCGUAGAUAUUCGCAAGAACACCAGUGGCGAAGGCGGCUCACUGGCCCGAUACUGACGCUGAGGCACGAAAGCGUGGGGAGCAAACAGG
rnacentral:rRNA from 1 species